UCUGUUCGGACUGAACCAAUUCAUAGGGA
rnacentral:piRNA from 1 species